UACGGAGGGUGCAAGCGUUGUUCGGAUUUACUGGGCGUAAAGCGCGCGCAGGUGGGUGUACAAGUCGGAAGUGAAAUCCCAGGGCUCAACCCUGGGGCUGCUCCCGAAACUGUACGCCUAGGGACUGGUAGAGGCUGGUAGAAUUCCCGGCGUAGCGGUGGAAUGCGUAGAGAUCGGGAAGAAUACCUGUGGCGAAGGCGGCCAGCUGGGCCAGAUCCGACACUGAGGCGCGAAAGCGUGGGGAGCAAACAGG
rnacentral:rRNA from 1 species